rnacentral:rRNA from 1 species
UGGGGAAUUUUGGACAAUGGGGGAAACCCUGAUCCAGCCAUCCCGCGUGUGCGAUGAAGGCCUUCGGGUUGUAAAGCACUUUUGGCAGGAAAGAAACGUCAUGGGUUAAUACCCCGUGAAACUGACGGUACCUGCAGAAUAAGCACCGGCUAACUACGUGCCAGCAGCCGCGGUAAUACGUAGGGUGCAAGCGUUAAUCGGAAUUACUGGGCGUAAAGCGUGCGCAGGCGGUUCGGAAAGAAAGAUGUGAAAUCCCAGAGCUCAACUUUGGAACUGCAUUUUUAACUACCGGGCUAGAGUGUGUCAGAGGGAGGUGGAAUUCCGCGUGUGGCAGUGAAAUGCGUAGAUAUGCGGAGGAACACCGAUGGCGAAGGCAGCCUCCUGGGAUAACACUGACGCUAAUGCACGAAAGCGUGGGGGGCAAACAGG